rnacentral:lncRNA from 1 species
GAAGACCGGGACCACCUGGACCCCGGUACCGCGGGCACCGAGCUCGAUGGGGACACGCGAAGAACAGAGCUGCACCACGGGAGGACAGAUGCGGGUCCCCGCCGCGGAAAGAGAAGGGAAUGGGUGUACCCCGCAAAAGUCAAAGAAGGAAGCUCACCUACACACAAACCACCUUUCAAGCAACUUCCCAUUGAGGAUCUUCAUGAGGACACGAACCCUGGGACCACAAAUCUCACAGCCAAACACAUGGGGAACACUGGGACAAACAAGCUUGUAAGAAAAAGGAGCUGAUUGGGCAGAUGGCACAGUUAACAGACUGGGGGCAGUGGAUGUGCUUGGAGAAGAUGGCUUAGCGGUUAGAGUACCGGCUGUUCUUGUGGAGGAGCUGGGUUCAAUUCUCAAGACCUCACAAACAUCUUUAGCCCCAGUCCCAGGAGAGCUUGAUACCCUCUUGUAGCCUCCGUGGGCGGUGUACUCUUAGAUUUAAUAGUAUAAUUCAAGGCAAGUGUCAAUGUAUUGUUGUGGAGAGAGAGAUGAAAAGGGGUGCCAUCAAUAAAGCUUCACUUGUAGCCAAAGCGAUAAAAGAAAUUGUCCAAGACGAUUUGGAGGAGGAAGUUAGGGAUAGAUGUCAC